AAGCCCGAGCGCGUAUUGAAAGUGAACGGAGGUGGGAACCCGCAAGGGUGCACCAUCGACCGAUCCUGAUGUCUUCGGAAGGAUUUGAGUAAGAGCAUGGCUGUUGGGACCCGAAAGAUGGUGAACUAUGCUUGAAUAGGGUGAAGCCAGAGGAAACUCUGGUGGAGGCUCGCAGCGGUUCUGACGUGCAAAUCGAUCGUCAAAUUUGGGCAUAGGGGCGAAAGACUAAUCGAACUAUCUAGUAGCUGGUUCCUGCCGAAGUUUCCCUCAGGAUAGCAGUAACGUAUUCAGUUUUAUGAGGUAAAGCGAAUGAUUAGAGGCCUGGGGGUUGAAACAACCUUCACCUAUUCUCAAACUUUAAAUAUGUAAGAAGUCCUUGUUACUUAAUUGAACGUGGACAGUUGAAUGAAACGUUAUUAGUGGGCCAUUUUUGGUAAGCAGAACUGGCGAUGCGGGAUGAACCGAACGAGGGGUUAAAGUGCCGGAAUAUACGCUCAUCAGACACCACAAAAGGUGUUGGUUCAUCUAG
rnacentral:rRNA from 1 species